rnacentral:rRNA from 1 species
GACGAACGCUGGCGGCGUGCUUAACACAUGCAAGUCGAACGGAAAGGCCUCUUUCGGGGGGUACUCGAGUGGCGAACGGGUGAGUAACACGUGAGUAACCUGCCCUUGACUUUGGGAUAACUUCCGGAAACUGGGGCUAAUACCGGAUAGGAGCUCCUGCUGCACUGUGGGGGUUGGAAAGUUUCGGCGGUUGGGGAUGGACUCGCGGCUUAUCAGCUUGUUGGUGGGGUAGUGGCUUACCAAGGCUUUGACGGGUAGCCGGCCUGAGAGGGUGACCGGCCACAUUGGGACUGAGAUACGGCCCAGACUCCUACGGGAGGCAGCAGUGGGGAAUAUUGCACAAUGGGUGGAAGCCUGAUGCAGCAACGCCGUGUGCGGGAUGACGGCCUUCGGGUUGUAAACCGCUUUCGCUCAUGACGAAGCUUUGUGUGACGGUAGUGGGUAAAGAAGCACCGGCUAACUACGUG